GGGGAUUUAGCUCAGUGGUAGAGCGCUUGCCUAGGAAGCGCAAGGCCCUGGGUUCUAUCCCCAGCUCCCA
rnacentral:tRNA from 1 species